UCUGAUAUUUUAGGAAGAAACAUCCUUCAAAAUUUCAAGCAUGUGCAUUUGGAAAAGAGCCUGUCUCGCUGUUGCCUCGGCAUUUUAUCUUCACAUCUGGCUUCAGAACCGUUGAGUUGUGGAGUCCACUCACGCCUGCUAAUGUUUCUACAAGCUUUAUUUUGGAAAUCUGGUGCACUUUGGCUUUGAAACAUGUGGAUGGAAGAUUUUUAACAUAAGGAGCCCUGAAUGCUUUGUUAUUCUUAAAUAAAUGUAUGCAACUAUUAAA